UUGCUGCAUCAAUUUUGCACUGAGGGUAUGACGUUAUUGAUAUAUUCUGGGACCAUAUAGAACAUGGUUGCAACCAAGAUCCUGUAGUGGCACCAAAUCUUAUGUAAAGGGGGUCAUAUAAGGUGUCUAGGACCAGGUUAUGGGUUCCUUGUUAUAAUUAUAGUGUCUAUAUGUAUGUAUCAUUUU